rnacentral:rRNA from 1 species
AAACCAACCGGGAUUGCCUCAGUAACGGCGAGUGAAGCGGCAAGAGCUCAAAUUUGAAAGCUGGCCCCUUCGGGGUCCGCGUUGUAAUUUGCAGAGGAUGCUUCGGGUGCGGCCCCUGUCUAAGUGCCCUGGAACGGGCCGUCAGAGAGGGUGAGAAUCCCGUCUUGGGCAGGGUGCCCGUGCCCGUGUGAAGCUCCUUCGACGAGUCGAGUUGUUUGGGAAUGCAGCUCUAAAUGGGUGGUAAAUUUCAUCUAAAGCUAAAUACCGGCCGGAGACCGAUAGCGCACAAGUAGAGUGAUCGAAAGAUGAAAAGCACUUUGAAAAGAGAGUUAAACAGCACGUGAAAUUGUUGAAAGGGAAGCGCUUGCGACCAGACUCGGCCCCGGGGUUCAGCCAGCACUCGUGCUGGUGUACUUCCCCGGGGGCGGGCCAGCGUCGGUUUGGGCGGCCGGUCAAAGGCCCCAGGAAUGUAUCGCCCUCCGGGGUUGUCUUAUAGCCUGGGGUGCAAUGCGGCCAGCCCGGACCGAGGAACGCGCUUCGGCACGGACGCUGGCGUAAUGGUCGCAAACGAC